CUCCCUCCUACAGCACCACCCACAGGCACGGCUAGUGUUGGCGGCGUGUCUCCGGGCGUCCGAGUACAGACAGUAGAGCGCGGAAGGGUGACUGGAGGGGGAGAAGGUGGUGGAGGUAGUGGUGGAGGAGAAGGGGGAGGAGAAGGAGGUGGUGGAGACCUUCAGCUGCAAGACCAGGAGACUCAACAACCCGGGGGCAUCAUCGACAAGGAGGCCAGCCUGGAGGGAUUCGUCAAGAGUCCAUCAGAGAGCGACGCCCUGCUGCAGUCCUGCUCACACCACUAGUAAUGGAGAGAUGAGGGCUUCGUGAGGUUUCUGGGCCACAAUCCCCCCCCCACCGCCACCCCUGAGCCCUAAGCCUCAGGCUACAUCUGCGGCGGCACCACGACCGCUGAGUUCGGAGAAGCAGCGACGAGACUUGUUGAGCGUGGAGGCUGCUCGGGGGCCGAGCGGCGUGGCCGGAACGCUCAGUCGGGAGUUCAAUCUUAACAUAGCCAAACGUUACCUGAUUCAUAGUUUCAGAUAGAACUUGAUCAAUCAAAGAUUACGGUGAAAAUAUUCUGUGUAGGUGUAAUGAAAUAAUGAAGACAUGGUGGAUUUUUUUUUUUAUCAGAUUAAUCAGUAGAAGAAAAUCGGGACAUAAACUAAAAUUUAAAUGAUUUAAGUUGGUCAGCGAACAGUUCUGUUAAUGCUGAGAAAACUCACAACACUGGGAUGGGUUUUUUUUUUUUAUUAUUUUUAGUAUUGUUGGUUAGCAGUUUGUGGUGAAAACUUCGUGUUCUAACAUACAUAUGCUGCAUGAAAAUGAAUGCUCUAAAUGUUUCUUCUAUAACCUGAUACUUCAGAAGCAGACAUAUAUAAUUAUCUACAGAUGCAUGGAGAACUCUUGGGUCCUAUAAGAACUCGGAAAGUUGACCGUGGAACGGGAUCGGUUGUGUUGUAACAGUGGGUGAUACCACUCUGUGAUGCCGGAAGGUGUUGCUGACAACGCGGAACUGUCGGUGGAAUGUGUGUAUGAGAGUGUGUGUGUAGGGGAAUGCUGUCAGACAAACGAAAGAAAGGGUCUGCGAGAACUCCACGAAGACACCGCGUGCUGCGUCUUGGUGCCGAGGCAUGAAGGUUUUCAUUAACAAGUUCACUUAUUGGCGAAUAGGUGACUGAGAAAGUUGAGACUCAGUGCGUUUGUAAAAUCUCUUUUUCCACUUUUCACUAAAUAAACACUGCUAUUUGAUAUUUACUGCAGCGUGCUGUGUUGCGUCUAGUUGAUGUAGUGGGGCGGAAGCGGCGGUGAUCAGCGAGGCGUCCUUAGUUGAGUGCGUCGCAGGACAACUUCAGUGGUUGUCUGAACAGUGUGGGUUUGCUGGGCAUGGUUUGAGCUUGCUAAAUGUGCUGCGUGUUGUCCGCAUUCUACAUUUUUAUCUCUUGCAUGUCAGUCUCUCUUCUCUUUGGGGUAUGCUACAGACUGGAGUGUAAUGUAAAGCGACUCUACCCGCCAAGACGUGUUGUAACGCAGUGCACAGUGGACGGCCGCCACCCGCCGCUCGCACCCCACUGCACCAGCCUGGCGCGUCGCCCCUCCCGAGGCUGAGUUGGACUGGUGACGCAGUGUACUGUUAUAGUGGCUAUUCGAGCAUUGCAUUUAUACCCAGUUUCUACUGUUCCGGUCUGCCGUGCAGACUUUUAUUACAAACUAAUUUCAAAUAAUAUUUUUAUAUGCAGUUUGCAUAAACACACAAGAAACAUGUGCUUGUCAUUAACGCGUGUGGAAACAUACCUGGUCAGCACGAGCCGCAGGUGCCCCGGCCGACGCUCAAACCGCCGCGGAGUGAGAGCCUGCCUGCCACUCACCACUGAAGCUGACCUGCGGUGACAGCAGUGUGUCGGCUGCCAAACAAUGGUGGCGGCACAGCACUGCAGCUGUAGACCAUGGAGCCCUCGCAGGGCCUACACUAUCAGGGUCGUGGCGGCCCGGGUCCAGCGUACAGCAGCCGACGGCGUCUCCUCCGGGCCCUGGCACCCGGCGAGGCUGCACAGCAUCGCCACCUCACUCGUGAACCUCAGACACUCACGAGAACAUGAAGCUCCGCCACAUUUAUGUUUUAUAGGACUUUUGACGGAUGGCUGGGGCGCUACUCCCUCGCCCCCCUCUGGCGCCGCCCUAGGGACACGCGGCGCAGUGACUUUUUGCUGGUCUGUACUUAUGACGCCGUUUUCAAUCCGCAUUAAUCGCGCAUAGAAUUUUAGAUUAAAGCACCACUCAAUCAUUCUCUAACUUCCAAAAAGAAAACAUUCAAUACCAGCACAAAUAAAUCUGGAAUAAUUUAUAAGCUUUAUUCGUAAGUAGCACGAAAUAAGAUAAAUUUCUGCAAACAUUUGUUAGUGCUUCAUAACGAGAACCGCGAGCAGUGUUGUCAAGUAUGUGUCCAGUUGGUAUAGACACGCUUCUCCUCGUACGGGCGAACCUGCACCUUACACACCAAUACGCUGCCUUCCGCCUGCCCGUGAGGUGUGUGUGUGUGAAUGUGUAUGUGUGUGUGUGUGUGUGUGUGUGUGUGUGUGUUUAUGUACAUGCGGGAAGCUCGCCAGGACGCCGCUGAAGCCAUAGACGUCACAAAUUGCUUUUACUUUCAUAAAAAUCCCUUUUCGAUAAAAUGCUAAAUAAAGAAUUUACAUUUAUAUUGCGAAAAAAUGUAAAUCACACUCUGUAAUCCUUUUACCUAAGACCUAACAGUUGUAAUUCAUUAACGUGUAUCUGCAAACGUUCCGCUAUUAAUUACUAACAUUAAAUCAUUAUAUUCAGUAUUGAAUAUUCAAUAAAAUUUAAUUUGACAUUCUUACCACAAUUGUAUUUUUUCCGAGUGUCUUGUUCUUCUAUAUUAUUUUUGUUGUUAGCCUCCCAGUGAACUAACGAGGAAGUAUAAGUGUACCGGGUAAGAGAGAGAGAGAGAGAGAGAGAGAGAGAGAGAGAGAGAGAGAGAGAGAGAGAGAGAGAGAGAGAGAGAGAGAGAGAGAGAGAGAGAGAGAGAGAGAGAGAGAGAGAGAGAUUGCAGCUGCAUAAUUGUCAAGAUUGCAGGUGUUGUAAUUAUGAGCAAAAAUUUAUUAGUACUAUGUGUUUGUGUGUGUGUGUGUGUGUGUGUGUGUGUGUGUGUGUUUAAUCUGCUUGCAGGUGUUCUGAUACACAGAAUGUCACGCUUUUUAUAUAACAUAUUAAUCAUUAUUUUAAGGGUGUUGCUAUCGAGAGUAACGCAGACGUUUGUAUACUCACUGUUGCUACUGCUGAAAUCUUUACAAACAUUUUUUUUUAUUAAGAUGAAACCUUCCCUCUCUGUGUACUUUACAUUUCUUAUAUUUUUAUACGGCGCCACCUGUCACCAGCCAGCGAGUGCUAUUCCUCCCUCCGCGCCUUACCUCCACGUUAGUUAUCAUAGCUUUACACACGUGAGCCUCGGCGCCCUCUGACGUUUCCUCCAAGGCCCGUACGUUGUUAUAAAUUAUAAACGUUGACUUCCUCCCCUCGAGGCGGUGCACGCCCCACUCAUUACGCUUCUCCACACGCAAAGAUUUAACUCGCGUUAUUUUAUUUUUUUUCGUAUAUACAAACUUGUCAGAAAGGCACUGAUAUUAUAUAUAUAUAUAUAUAUAUAUAUAUAUAUAUAUAUAUAUAUAUAUAUAUAUAUAUAUAUAUAUAUAUAUAUAUAUAUAUAUAUAUAUAUUAACUAACUCUCGACAGUGAUAAUUUGCCACCGUUUCAUUUGAAUAUUGUUUUUUUCUGCCUUAUCAAACACUGGUCAGGUGAGAGAGACUCACUGGGAAAGUUGUUCCCUCUGCCGCCUCUCACACGCAGGAGGAGGGACAAAGGGAGCCGCUGAGCUGCCCCGGUGUUGCUGGCUGACUCCCGCCUGCCCCGCCCCCUUUGCCCCUCCCCUUCUUUCCUCCUCUACUGGUGACCGAGGCACCACCCCCAGGGGUCGCCGCCCCACAGAAACUUUAAAGGUAGAGGCAUUUAAUUGCCCUGUUACGAGAGCGGCGGCCUGUGAGGUGCGGCUGUGGCUUGGCAGGUGGUCCUGCCACAUGACAAGAUGAUUCGUCAAACUAAAAAUUUACAUUAUUAUUCAGUGUAGUUUUUUUCACGUUGCAGUUUUUGGAAGUCCGUAAGAGGGAGACAUUUUGUACGGCUAUGAUAAUUUAUCUCGAACUUCGAUGAGACAACAGUAUGUCACUCAGAAGAGACUUGAUCACCUUUUUACACUUUUGACUUAUUCAUUACGAAUCUUCACGCAGCUAAUAGCUUCUUGUGUGAGGAUUUUAUACUGCCAUUCUACUUUUUUUUAUUAGGUGAAUUUAGUAUUGGUUUAGGGCAUACAAUUGUAGCACUCUUGUUGACAGGAGAAAAUAAUGUGUGCUUUACGACUGUACAAAUUCCGUGGAAGCACAAAUGUGUCCUCCAGUGUUCCUCAGAGAAUAAACUUUUGGCCGCUUUGGCCUCACA